GACGAACGCUGGCGGCGUGCUUAACACAUGCAAGUCGAACGAUGAAGCGGGUGCUUGCACUCGUGGAUUAGUGGCGAACGGGCGAGUAACACGUGAGUAACCUGUCCUUUUCUUUGGGAUAACGGCUGGAAACGGCUGCUAAUACUGGAUAUUCAGGCUGCAUCGCAUGGUGUGGUUUGGAAAGGUUUUUUCUGGGAUUGGGUGGGCUCGCGGCCUAUCAGCUUGUUGGUGGGGUGAUGGCUUACCAAGGCUUUGACGGGUAGCCGGCCUGAGCGGGUGGUCGGUCGCACUGGGACUGAGAUACGGCCCAGACUACUACGGGAGGCAGCAGUGGGGAAUAUUGCACAAUGGACGAAAGUUUGAUGCAGCGACGCCGCGUGGAGGGUGUAGGCCUUCGGGUUGUGAACUCCUUUUUCUCGCGAAAAAGGCACAGUUUUGGCUGUGUUGAUGGUAGUGGGGGAAGAAGCGCCGGCUAACUACGUG
rnacentral:rRNA from 1 species